CACAUGAGAAAGAAGAUUUUUAAACGUCAAAUUACAUCGAUAUUUUGCACUGUGCACCGCGCAGAGGUAACGAGAAACAAGUGCCAAGGUGUGUGCAAUAAAAAUCAGACAAUCAUUUUAAGAGGUGUGUAAAGAGAGAGAUUGUAAAACAAGACUAGCGAAAGGAGACAAAAAAGAAGAGUAAACUGCAAGUAAGUAAGUUAGCCCGAAAGCACACUUAAAGAGCAAAGAGUAAAGUGCAGGUAGUACCAAGUGAGUAACAAAAAAGUGAACAAGUAAAGUUCCCCUCCCCACUUUUUUUUCUUCUUUCGUUUUCUGCGACCCAAGCAAGUAGCACUAAUACUUGUUGCUUAAAGUGCCAGGCCGCAAUUAUGAUGCGGCUUAAGUGCAGGCGUGUGUGUACACACGCACGACUCUUUCAACAUCGGCAGGCAGGCAUGUUCGAGGCACUUUAAGCCAGUUGCCGAUCAGUUUCAGCAAUCAGUUUCGGUCGGGCAGUACUUCGGGGAUUUUCGCGUUUUGGUAGCUUCAAAUUUGGUGUACCUUAAUUUUUUGUCGUCGUCGCUGCACCGCUUCUACCCCCAGCUUCAAGACAGGUCUUCAGGACUUGUGACGCUCAGUUUGAACCAGGUUCUCGCGGACGAAAGAGCGCCAAAGUUUUCCGCAAAUUUCAUUACAAAGAUUUUCAUCGCCCAGGAAAAAGUGAGCAAAAGUGAAGGGAAAAUUCUUGUGAAGCAAAAAUUGAUGCGGAGCAAAAGUUCGUUAAAUUGAGUGAGUGAAGCGAAAAGCCGGCGCUAUUAAGUAAUAGGGUUUGCGGAGCCGUUGAAGGGGACCGACAUUUUCCGAGGAAAAUUGCAGUGUGCGGUCAGCCGGCGAAAAUUUGCCGCUCAAGUUUUGGCGGCGGAAAGUCGAACGGUGCUUGCAAGCUGGGAAAGCUUUUCACAGGACCACGGGAAGGAAUACUUUUAAAAGUCACCACCAAGAUGUCUAGCCACCAACAACAACAACAGCAACGACGCCGCCACCGCACCCCGGUCUACUGCGAUCAGCUGGCGUCGUGGCUUCUGCUGGCGGUCUUCGCGGUCAGCACGGUGCUGCUCUGUUGCUGCGUAACCAGCGCCCAGGCCCAGCCCCAGA